UAACGUGUGGGCAACCUGCCCUGUACUGGGGAAUAAUCAUUGGAAACGAAUGACUAAUACCGCAUGUGGUCCUCGGAAGGCAUCUUCUGAGGAAGAAAGGAUUAUUCGGUACAGGAUGGGCCCGCAUCUGAUUAGCUAGUUGGUGAGGUAACAGCCCACCAAGGCGACGAUCAGUAGCCGACCUGAGAGGGUGAUCGGCCACAUUGGGACUGAGACACGGCCCAA
rnacentral:rRNA from 1 species